rnacentral:misc_RNA from 1 species
GAUGAAGAACGUAGCGAAAUGCGAUAAGUAAUGUGAAUUGCAGAAUUCAGUGAAUCAUCGAAUCUUUGAACGCACAUUGCGCCCUCUGGUAUUCCGGGGGGCAUGCCUGUUCGAGCGUCAUUUGUACCUUCAAGCUCUGCUUGGUGUUGGGUGUUUGUCUCGCCUCUGCGUGUAGACUCGCCUCAAAACAAUUGGCAGCCGGCGUAUUGAUUUCGGAGCGCAGUACAUCUCGCGCUUUGCACUCAUAACGACGACGUCCAAAAGUACAUUUUUACACUCUUGACCUCGGAUCAGGUAGGGAUACCCGCUGAACUUAAGCAUAUCAAUAAGCGGAGGA